AGCUCACAACAAGGACAGGUCCGUUGGAUCUCCAUACCAUGGCCUCUUAAAAUGGAUCUCAUCGAUAACUGAUCCCAGACCAUCUUUCACAGAAAAAGGCUCACCCGCGGAUGCACCCCCAUCCUCCAAAUCCACCUCACAUCUAUCUGCUUGGAUGGUCCCCUCCAAUAUAAAUGAUAAAGAUCCAUGGUCACCAUUUUUGAAGAGCAAGACUGCCUCCAGACCCGGAUGUUCGAAUUGCCAUAAAUCGGCACAGGAAGGGCCAAGAUCCAUUUCCCUAGUUGCUCCCC
rnacentral:lncRNA from 1 species